rnacentral:tRNA from 1 species
GUCUCCAUGGCUCAGCUGGUUAGAGCAUCGGUCUCAUGUGUCUGAAUAUGAGCAAUUGCUUCCUAAAACAAUUGCAUGCAAUCCGGGGAUCGCGAGUUCGAACCUCGCUGGGGACA